UACGAAGGGGGGCUAGCGUUGCUCGGAAUCACUGGGCGUAAAGCGCACGUAGGCGGCUUGUUAAGUCAGGGGUGAAAUCCUGGAGCUCAACUCCAGAACUGCCCUUUGAUACUGGCAAGCUUGGAGUCCGGGAGAGGUGAGUGGAACUGCGGAGUGUAGAGGUGAAAUUCGUAGAUAUUCGCAAGAACACCAGUGGCGAAGGCGGCUC
rnacentral:rRNA from 1 species